AGAAUAGAGACUCCUUCUCUCUUCCACAUCAGAUGCUGAAAUAAACCGCUCACUUCACAUUUGAGAGUCACAGAUGUGCUGGAGGUCCAGGAGACCACAAUUCCUGUUGCAUUUGGAGGAUCUUAAAGUAAACUUCAGGACGUGCUGUGGCCUGAUCAUUAGUGACCCAAAACAUAACAACGGUUUCUUCCCUGUCUGUGGGUCCGACCUCAGAGUAACCAGACUCCUGAAAGUGUUGUGCUGCAGCGGAGGCCUGACUGCUCGCUCUCGGCUUAAUGAAGUCUGUGUAGACGUACAAGACGGAAGUCAGCUCUUCAGAGUCAGUUCUCGGAGUUGAUCACAAUUUGUGGGCUUCUGCUUGUCCACUGGUCUUUUGAGGACUGACCACAGGUUUUCUAUGGGAUAGAGAUACGUGAUUUUGGGCAGAAUUAGGAGAGAGCACACUCACUUGGUUGAAAAGCAACCCUACACGAUUGUCUCAGGAUGCUUCACUGUUGGCACAACACAGGACUCAUGGUAGCAUUCACCUUUUCUUCUCCAAACAAUCAAUUUUCCAGAUCAGAAAAGGGAGCUUCAUCAGAGAAAAUAACUUUCCACCAGUCUUCUGCUGUCCAAUCCUUGUACAUCCUUCAGAAUUUCAGUCUGUCCUUGACAUUUUCUUAGAGAGAUGUGGCUUCUAUGCUGCCCUUCCUGAUGUCAGGACAUUGUCCACAAGUCUUGGUCUCACUGUGCAUGCAGAUGCUCUCACAACAACCUGCUGCCAUUCCAGAGCAAACUCUGCACUGCUGGAGACACGAUUUCAGCUGACUCCUCAGGAGAGACGGUCCUGGCACUUGCUGGACAGUCUGGGGCAUCCUAAAGACUUCUUCACUGCAGUUCAAACCUCUAUCCUUGAGGUUCUUGAUCUUGUAAAUGGUUCUUUCAGGUUCAUUAUUCUUUGUAGCAAAAUACAAUGCAAAACGAUGCAAAAAUUGAUGCAAAACGAUAUCGACUGCAUGUUUUUACUGCACAUUUCUUUGGAGAUAACCAUUGCUAACAAGAACACAAUGAUUGGAAGCAGUUCUUCUGCAAUCAAUCUGCUCUUACAAUCUAAUUAGUUUGUUUGUUUGUUUGUUUUAUUUGGAUCCCCAUUAGCUUCAGCAUAAGCUAAAAGCUAUUCUUCCUGGGGAUAGGAAGAAUAUUCUACCUUCCUAUAAUCUACCAUGUGACAAUACAAUAUAUCACACACCAUACGUACAAGACA